rnacentral:lncRNA from 1 species
AAACCCAUAACUCAUCCAACCCAAUCAAACUCAGUAAUCCCGUCACCGCCGUUCCAACCCAACGCCGCCACCGACGACUGUUACAGACAGACUCCAUCUCUUUCGUUUCUUCUGAAUUUCUCGCGGAAGCUUUUCUACCGUUGGCCCCACCGGCGACGUCGACGGAGACCGUGCAAUCUGUUUCGAAUUUGGGGAUUCUUUUGGGGUUGGGUUUGAUUUUAAGAUCUGUUGGUGUGAAUUUUGUUUGGGUUGUGGUUGAAGAUGACUUUUUGGGGGUUUUUUCAUAAAGUUUGUUGUUGUUGUUGUAGUACUGGAAAUGGAAAAGGGUGUGGCUGCCAUAAGAUUGAGUUGCCGCAGACUUGACGGUGAAAGUGUGAAAAUGAGUGGAUUUGGAAAUGAGGUGAAAAAGAAAGAAAGAAAAAAAUGAGAGAGGAGGUUAAAGUUUGAGAAACA